GUCGACGGUGAAAGAGAGCUUGCUCUCUGGAUCAGUGGCGAACGGGUGAUUAACACGUGAGCAAUCUGCCCCUGACUCUGGGAUAAGCGCUGGAAACGGCGUCUAAUACCGGAUACGAGCUGCGAAGGCAUCUUCAGCAGCUGGAAAGAACUUCGGUCAGGGAUGAGCUCGCGGCCUAUCAGCUAGUUGGUGAGGUAAUGGCUCACCAAGGCGUCGACGGGUAGCCGGCCUGAGAGGGUGACCGGCCACACUGGGA
rnacentral:rRNA from 1 species